rnacentral:rRNA from 1 species
GCAAGUCGAACGGUAACAUGUCGGAGCAAUCUGAUGAUGACGAGUGGCGCACGGGUGCGUAACGCGUAUGCAACCUACCCAUAACCGGAACAUAACGUUGAGAAAUCGGCGCUAAUAUUCCAUGUGUAUAUUUUUGUGGCAUCAUAGGAUAUAUAAAGAUUAAUUGGUUAUGGAUGGGCAUGCGUAUCAUUAGCUAGUUGGUAGGGUAACGGCCUACCAAGGCUGCGAUGAUUAGGGGUUCUGAGAGGAUAACCCCCCACACUGGAACUGAGACACGGUCCAGACUCCUACGGGAGGCAGCAGUAGGGAAUAUUGGGCAAUGGAGGCAACUCUGACCCAGCCAUGCCGCGUGAAGGAAGAACCGGUCCUAUGGAUUGUAAACUUCUUUUAUCAUAGAGUAACCGCAGGGACGUGUCCCUGCCUGCAAGUAUAUGAUGAAUAAGCAUCGGCUAACUCCGUGCCAGCAGCCGC